rnacentral:misc_RNA from 1 species
AGCAGCCGCGGUAAUUCCAGCUCCAAUAGCGUAUAUUAAAGUUGUUGCAGUUAAAAGCUCGUAGUUGAAUUUCGGGAUUGACGUAAUGGUCGCGCCUUAAGGGGUAUGAACUGUUACUGUUGAUUUCUCACCUUCUGGAGAAUCUUGAUGUCCUUAAUUGGGUGUCUUGUGGAUCCAGGACCUUUACCUUGAAAAAUUGAGUGUUUAAAGCAGGCAUUUUGCUCGAAUACAUUAGCAUGGAAUAAUAGAAUAGGACGGCAUGGUUCUAUUUUGUUGGUUUCUAGGAUCACCGUAAUGAUUAAUAGGGAUAGUUGGGGGCAUUAGUAUUCAAUUGUCAGAGGUGAAAUUCUUAGGAUUUAUUGAAGACUAACUACUGCGAAAGCAAUUUGCCAAGGAUGUUUUCAUUAAUCAAGAACGAAAGUUAGGGAUACGAAGACGAUCAGAUACCGUCGUAGUCUUAACCAUAAACUAUGCCGACUAGGAAUCAGACGAUGUUAAUUUUUAAUUGUACUUCGUUGGG